rnacentral:hammerhead_ribozyme from 1 species
AUCCAGUUGAUGAGUGCCAAAUAGGACGAAACGUCCAUCCUGGAU